rnacentral:rRNA from 1 species
UACGAAGGGGGCUAGCGUUGUUCGGAAUUACUGGGCGUAAAGGGCGCGUAGGCGGCUUCGAUAGUCGGGUGUGAAAUGCCUGGGCUCAACCCAGGAACUGCACUCGAAACUCCGAGGCUAGAGUGUGGGAGAGGAUAGUGGAAUUCCCAGUGUAGAGGUGAAAUUCGUAGAUAUUGGGAAGAACACCGGUGGCGAAGGCGGAUCUCUGGGCCUUACCUGACGCUCAGGCGCGAAAGCUAGGGGAGCGAACAGG